CGGGGGGGUGCGGCCAAAAUUGUUUUUGCUUGGGGCGGCAAAAAUCCUAGAGCCGGCCCUGGGGCUAGCUAUGAGAGGGAGACAUGAUAACACACACACGUGCAUACACAGGGCCAGUGUAUUACAAAUGCACGGUCGUACCAUGAUAUUUGCAAACACUUUCAAAUUGGAAUGCCAAUUAAAAACAAACCCAACGGCCGAUUAUUAAAAGACACAGAAUGAAACGUACAAGAGCACACCACAAAUAACAUAGCCCAGGCUGACACUAUAAAUGACGCCGUUCACAUUUUUCCAACGCCUUUAUUACACAGGCAUUUGCCUUAAUUGUAUAACUCCUGGUGCAAUCCUAGAAGCAUCAUUCUGAAAGCCACUAGGCUGAAUAAAAUGUAUCACCUGGUGCUAUGGGGCUUUCAGAUGCGCCCACAGUAUCAGAACAAUACAUACGAAGGCUGAACACCCUCUGUUCCCCAGGAUAGGGCUGAGGUCUAUUGGCAGGGCAGGAUGGUGGUGCCUGGCCCGUGCAUCCACAGAGAAUGUCUGUCUCCAGGACUGACCAUCUGGUGCCUUUUAGCAGACAUUAAUUAAUUCUCCCUGAGCCUGGACUGACUUAUUCACAUUUAGUGUCUGCUCCAGAACGGGUGACAAACAGUGUCAAGCUCUCUCCCAAUGUUCAACAGUCAGCGAGCUUCAUCUCAGGGGCCGUUCCAUCCAAGGGCUUCAUGGUAGCUGUCUGGGUGGAAUUUACCCCGGCACAGUGGGCCAGCAUGAGGCCUGUGUCCCGCCUAAGGCCUAUUUUGGGACAGGGCCCUGCUGUGAAAUUGAGGUCUAGCCUCGCCUCCUGGCUCCGAAGGGCAGGGAUGUUUGGCUCCAGGCUUGUAAGCCCAGUCCACGUGUUCGCUAUGAGGAAUGCCUCGGAAGGAGAGUUAAAAUACUGAGCCAUGUUUACACAUUGAGAGGGGGCUCAUACAACUCAAACCAUUGACAUCAGUGGAGCUACUCCUGGUUAUAGUCCAGUGUAAGCAAUAGGAGAAUCGGGCCCAUCAGGUGCCUUAAGACAAGCAAUCCAGGGCAGAGGACCCAGAUGAAGGCCCUCAGUGAGGCGCAGGGCUUUGUCUGGGCUUUCUGUUUUGGGGUGCAUUUCACUUUGAGUGGGGAGUGCAGCUUUGCCAAUGAGUUUGUUCUUUUUCAGUUUUUAAAUAAAGUUCCUUCAGCAUCAACAAGAAACCAGUGGCACUGGAACACUUUUAAUAGUGGGGGUGCUGAAAGCCAGCCCCCUUACCCCUGUCUGACCCCUCACCCUCCAGAGCUGGGGCCAGGAGCAGGGCCAUGUCUCCCCAAGAGGGGGUAGGGGGACCGAGGCUGGGGGCGGGCACGGGGACAGGAGAGGAGCCCCGGAGCUGGCAGCCAGGACCCCAAGUGUGGGGCCGGGAGUGGAGCCCGGUGUAAAACCUGGGGGUGCUGCAGCACCCCCCGUGCCCCGAGUUCCCGCCCCUAUGCAAGAUAAUAAUUAUUGCUAAUUAUUAUUGUUUGGGCAUUAACAGCUCUUCCAGAUCUGCCCCUCCCCUCAUCCUGCAAUGAGCACUGCAUGACCCUAAUGGAUCCCAUUGUAGGAUGCUGCUCUUUGAGACCAUUAUGCUGCCUUGCAAAACUGUCCAGAAAUUUUACCAGCCCAGGCACAUCUUCUACUCUCCUACCCUUGACCAUGCAAAUGGCUGAUGAUCAUGAAGAAGCUAUAAGGAAAUUUUGCAAGGCUGCCAUGAUGGUAUUUUACAGGAAAAAUAAAGCAGGUGUCAUAAUGGUCCACAUAAAAAGAAUACUAAUCACAGUGGUGUUGCAGGAAAAAACGAAUAGAUGGGGCCAGCAUAGAUCUGUGUCUUUCAUAGGUCUGUGAGUGCUUUGUUGCCAGCAAGCUACUCUGUCCUGCAUACAGCGUCUGAAUCUUUUUGCAGUGCGACAAUACAAGAAGCGCAUGAUACGUUGUGUUUCUAUAGCCCCUUUCAUCGUGGAGCUCAGUGGGCCUGGUCCAAAGACCACAGAAGUCAGUGUAAAGAUUCCCAUUAAAUUCGAUAAAUCCCAUUAACAGGAUAUUGGCAACCCUUGUAGUCUAAACAUUGCAGCACUGUGGUACUUCUUGAGACCCAGGAAGUGGAAAUAAAUGGAAACAAAAGCAAAACUGAUUCAGCUAUUCUCACUCGCCCAGUUGAAGGGAUUUGCAAAAUGUAACAACAAAAAUGGCAUACGCAUUGGGAAACAAAUACCUUUUUAAAAAUUAUUUCAAUUUUAAUGCUCUAAAAAUUAUCAUUAACACAGAAAAGGCUCUUUUUUUAACAAGAUAUGAUUAUUGGCCUUACAACGUCCCUUUAAUUUAUUAACCCUUUAGUUUCAUUUCACCCACCAGUGGAAUGCAGCCACCUCUGGUGCGCAUCACAACUGCUAUUUUAACAGCACACAGCAGUACCACCCCACAGUUUAGGACAGGCUCCCUGCCUGUGUGACUUGUAGCCUGCAUGCACGUAUACUCAGAGCUUUGGGAAUUCACCAGAAGAUGCAUGAUCAGAAAUUCAUUUUCUCUUCACAUCUACCAGGCUGGAGAGAAGUUGAACUUGCCAAAUGGCCACGUACUAUUAGGAUGCUACUGAAUAUCUUGAAAGCCAGGGAGCUGAAACAGGAACAGCCUGGGCAUUUUAUGACUGAUGUCAGUGGCACCUCAGAUACAAUAGCAGAUGAGCUGUUCUGUGUGGCAGUCCCAUUGUGCACGCGAUUGCUUUAAUUCCACACUAGAACAUUCAGUCAAAUGCAAACAUCUCUACUGUUGUGACUGGGAACAAGACUUGGAGUUGGUGAUCUAAGUUUCCCACCCUGUCCAAGUAAAUUUUUAGUACAUACGUGUGUGUGUUCUGCUUUACUUUGAAGGCAGCUACAGACCUCCUGAAACUGCUGGGUGCAUCUCCUGCUCUGCUCACUGGUGAGCGCCCAUUAUGUUCUCCCUUUCACGUUGUUCAGGAAGGUGGCGUGUUCCUCACAUGUCUGUUACACAGCACAGUGCACAUAGUCAGUGCAUACUCAAUAAUAACCUGCAACCUCUGUGCAUUAUGGUGCUCUGCCUUCAAAGAAAGGUACAUUGAGGGGCCUAAGUAUGUUGACCUGAUCUAGGUAGCUGCUGUGACAAAAGAACUCACUCCUGGUUGUUCAAUCCCUGGUCAAUGUUUGUGCAACAUUUCUGCUUAAGCCAGCCUGAAAACUAACAGCUUUAAAUGCGUGGGCAUCAAUGACUUUGCCCUGAGGGAAUUAGUCUAGUGCGUCCCAUCUGCAGUGGGACAAGCCAAGGAAGAGUGGCUUCUUGGUUAGAUCUGGGUAUUUUAGGGAGUGCAAUGCCUUGAAAAUAAUUAAUCUUAAAUGCCAGUGAAAGGCUCGGCCUGAUUCUCAUGCCAAGGCCUCCCGCCUUUGUCAUCCCACCUAAAAAAAAAUGGGUGUGUGGUGAUGAAGAGAGGUUGAAUUUUUGUCAAGCGCUGUGCCAUUUUUUUAUUGUUAAGGUAUAACAAGAUCAUGGCACAAAACCCUCAGCCAUACCGUGCUCAGCAGAUAUUUUUUAAGGGCGCAUGUAUCCGAAAGCAUGUAUCACUUCUUGCAAGUUACCAGCUAUGAGCUAUCCACACCCUUGGAAAUGCAUUAGCUGCCUGUAGCUGAUUUGUUUAGGGUUGACGUUCAGUGUUGGGUGGGAAAUGAAUUGCCUGCUGCUAUAAAUUGCUUUGGGUUCUAGAAUUAGGCUUGCGCUGAAGGAGGAGAAAGAAAAGGAGUGUGUGUAUUGUACAGGGGAAGAGCGGCGUGAUUCACAGACAGAGCCAAGCUCUCGCCCUAUACUGUGUGGUUGCUGUCGGCUGGGGUGAUUUAAAUCAAGCCGGAUGAAUUUAGAACACUGUGCUUAGUUAUGGACACCAGCCAUGUGAAGGGUUCCCUGGCCUGUCUCUCUGGGGAAUUAUGUAAGAGGAGGAGCAAGUCCUAAUGGUCUGAGAGUAGAACUGGAUAUUAGGUCUAUCCUGGUCCUGACACUUAACCCCUUCUUUGGGAACCCCUCUGCCUGAGUUUCCCCCAGGAAUAAUAAGGGGUCAGCAAAACAGACCUGACUCACAGGGAUGUGGUGAGGAUUGCUAAUGAGUUAAAGCCCUUUAAAAACACAGGCCCUGAUUCUGCAAAGGGCGGAGCACCUUCAGCUCCAUUGAUUUCAAUGGGGAGCGGAACUUGCUUGGCAUCCUGCAAGUUGAGCCCCAUCCAACUGUGGGGCCUUAUCCCAUGAAGUUCAGGUGAGCUUGUCCCACAGAACGCCAGCUGUCAGCAAGAGCACACUUGGUAACAGCCCAGAGGUGGCGGGUGAGGAGCCCUCACCAACAGACAGUGUAGCACUGAGGCGCGGAUUCUUAGAGGUGCUUUGGAAUAGGGAUAAACAGCCGCCCUGGUAUCUGCAUGGGAAUGGUGUAACGUUCCGGGUGAUCCCGUUUCUGUGUCCCCUUUUGUCUGUGAGGAGACAACACGGCUGAGUCUCGGCGUGUGGUGCCAGAGCUUCGCUCCGAGCCGAGAGGGGCUCUUCUCCCUCUGCCCAGUCUCCUGUGAGGAAAGAGGCCAGAGUCCGUGCAAUUCCUCCCAAGCCGCUGAGAUGCAGAGGAGCCUUUCCACCCUCCCAGCAGUCAACUCUGAGGGAGGAGAAGCCCCAAGCCCAGACCUGGCACAAGGGGAGUCGCCCCACAAUAACAAACAUGGUGCCACCUCCUGACAUUGCUUUAUUACGUCUGUAUCAGCAAGACGAGCAGGGACUGGGAGUCAGGAGACCUGGCUUCUCGUCUCAGCUGAGCCAGCCACUCACUGUGGCCUUGAGCAAGUCUCAUAGGCGUGGUCUACACUGGGGGGGGGGGGAUCGAUCUAAGAUACGCAACUUCAGAUAUGAGACUAGUAUAGCUGAAGUUGAUGUAUCUUAGAUCAAAUUAAGAUUACUUACUUUGCAUCCUCGCGGCGCGGGAUCGACGGCCGUGGCUCCCCCGUCAACUUUGCUUCCGCCUCUCGCACUGCUGGAGUUGAGCAGUCGACGGGAGAGCGAUUGGGGAUCGAUUUAUCACGUCUACACUACACGCGAUAAAUCGAUCCCCCAUAGAUUGAUCGCUACCCGCCGAUCCGGCAGGUAGUGUGGACGUACCCUGAGGGUCUGUCUACACUGUGAUAAAAAAACCUACAGCACCGAGUCUCAAGCCCCAGUCAGCUGACUCAGUCUCCGGCUGCUGGGCUAAAAAUAGCAGUGUAGAUGUCCAGGCUCGGGCUGGAGCCUGAGGUCUGAGAUUCUCACCCACUUGCGAGGUCUCACAACCCAGGCUCCUGCCCAAACCUGAAGGUCUACACUGCAAAUUGAUAGCCCCACAGCCGGAGCCCCACAAGCCCGCGUCAGCUCACCCAGGCCAGCUGCAGCCAUGCUGCAAUGUAUUUAAUGCAGUGUAGACAUACCCUUACUCUUGCUGUGCUUCAAUUGCCUGCCAUGGAAAAUGGAAAAGGUGACUUGACUGGCCUCAGUGAAGUACACUGAGAUGCACAGACAGAUGGUGCUGUGGAACUGCACAUUAUUAUUAUUUAUUGAUUGCCCGUUGCAUCAUUAGGUGACAUGUUGUGAGUGGGCAACUUCGGGAUGUGAUGACAGGAAGUGGGGAUCACAAUUAGUUUUGUGACCCCCGGCAGCUCUGUUCAGUUACACGAUGGUUCCCCCAGUUCUGAGUGCACAUGGAAACCAGAUGGUGAGAGCCAGGUGUUAGUUAGUGUCUCUUGCUGUGAAGGGUUUUGGGUGCUUUAAAAUAAGCCAGAGAAAACUCCCAAAUCUCUAGAGCAUUCCUUCUGCCCCAGGAGUGAGAGAACUGGGGAAUUUUCUGCAGAAGGGGAAUUCACAUGUUGUUUCAAUGGUGUUGCACUUGUUGUAUCCCAUCUUAUGAUGUAGCUAAUCAGCCAAGACGAUGAAGUUCAGACCCAGGUGUUGUGAGUUUUACUUCCAUAUUGUAGUGGUUACUUUUGGCUGAUAAACUGUGCAGUUCCAAGGUGGAUUUGGACUGGAUUCCCCGAAAGAGGGCAGAGACAGUAAUGUCCCGCAAAGAUCCCAGCUACAUUCCUGGCCAGGCCUUUGGAACAACCAAAAAAAAUGUUCGCCCCCCCCCCCCCACGUGAAUCCUACCCAGGUUUUAUAGAGAACCAGGUACAUGCUGGAAAGUACUUUAGUCUCUGCAGUGUGACUCCCCAAGCAAUACCAACAUGAUCAAUAAGGCUUCUACUAACAUACCUCACAAUCAAGCCACAGUGCUUUGUUUUAAGGAGCUCCCAGGGGACAGAAAGGAGUGGAGAUUCUCCACUAAAUAUAUGUGUGUAUGAGCUCUGUUUAGAAUCAGCCCAAAGUCAGCCCUGGCUUCUAUACAGUACCUUAUUAGGCCUCCUCAGUAUAACAUGUAUGAAACAGGACCAGUGCUGAUUGGUAGCCAUAGCUGUGACGAGAGAAUUCUGACCUACCCACCCACAAGUCACAGGGUCAUGGUAAAUUUGAGCUUGUAUAUUUGAAGGCUGAAGGUUCCAGUGCGCCCCAAGUUGUUGUCCCUGUAUCAACCACUUCCUUAAUUCCACUGCAGUUUUUCCUUUCAGGGCUCUCCUGCGCUAUUUUAGUUGAAGUACUUUGGCUCAGAGCUGAAAAGCACUAAGAUGCUGUUAUUUAUGCACUGAUAUUAUGACUGUUAAUGAUAUUCCUGCAGCUUGACAGCUGUAGUUUUAUUAAAUCAUUUCUUCCAUGGCCACGUCCGUGGCAUCCUUCCCUCUGUUGGUCUGUCCUCGGUCUCCUGUCCUCUUGUCCGUCUCUACAGUUCUUUGGGAUGUAUUGUUGAUAAGGUCACCACAGCACUGGUUCACAUGGGAAAGACCCAAUAUUUAAGGCUUGUAGGGCUGCCAAAGUGUCGUGAGAUAUUUUCCAAGCCAGCCCAAUGUGACACCAUAGUAACAUUUAUUCCCCCGUGCAUACAGAUGGCAGGAUCACCAGUUGCAACACAAACAGAUAGAACCCAGGACUGUCAGCUCUAUCAUUUGAGCAAAAUUAGAUUUUCUGUCAACUCGCUAGUGGUAGUAGGGCUUUUCUAUUCUGUAUGGCCACUCAUUAGAUGGUAGGGUGCACAAACAAAUUGGAGUGUGGGCUACACUCUAGAGCAGUGGUUCUCAACCUAGCUACCAUUAUGAGCUGCAUAUGCGGCCCAGAAUGUGUUAUGUGGGUUGCAUCCAAUACUACUUAUAUGGCCACGAGGCUGUCACAUGGGCCGCAGCUCUGUGCUGACGGGCCGCAGGUGGAGAACCACUGCUCUAGAGGGUUGAUCAAAGACUAGGCACUAAGACAAGUCAUGAGUUCUCAGCCCAUCUCUUCUGCUGACUCCCUCUGUGGCUUUGGGUGAGUCACUUAUCCUGCCUGGAUCUCAUUUCCUUUCCCAUUUGUAAAAUGAGGAUAGCAGUACGUAUUUCCCUAUCUCAAAGGGUGUUGUGAGGGUUAAUUAGUUAAUGUCAGGAGAUGCAAAGCGCUGUCAGUAGUCUGUACAUUACUGGAUCACUACAUGAUGAUGAUGCACCUUAAUGUUACGACACCAAAUGUCACAAUUCCAUCCUGGAACCAGGAUGUCCUACUGGAUAAAACCCGUUAAAAGCGCUAAUCCUAAAUUGUGCAGGUGAAGAAAGGUGGUGGGAGAAGGCUUUUUACACAGUUUUGAAGCUCUGUUGUCAUAUCAUACAAGAAAACAUCUGCCACUUUAAUGAGCAAUUAAGAGCUCCUGGCUGGAGAGCAAUGAAUAUAGGGAAUGUAACUAGGGACUUGGUCCUGCAUCCAUUGGAAUUAAUGGGAGUUCUGACACUGACUUGAGUAAAUUCAGGAUCAGAUCCUUUGAAUAAUCAGUAAGGCCCAAUCCAAUUUCCACUGAAUUCAACAGACUCCCAUUGACUUCAAUGGUAAUUAAACUGGACCCAUUUACGUUAGGAUAGCUUUUUUAACUGCUGUGAGGCGUGUAUGACUGGCAGCUUUGAAGCUGUUGAAUCUGCAGCAUAUUCUCAGUGAUAUUUUGUGUGUUCCAAAGUGUGUGACUGUUCUUAAACAGGAUUGUGGGGUAUUUUUUUCCAUUUGUAGAAGUCAGAAAGGACAAAAAUAAUCAGUGGCAAAAUGUACAGUGUGUGUCUUGUGGUGUCGCUGUUUGAGUUGGUUAUUAAUUUUUCAAAUCACUGUGGACGACUAAUCACUUAAGUUAUUAAUUUAUUCAUGGGUUUUUUUCUAAAAAAAGAAUAACUUGAAACACUUAUUUAUCCUGUAAAUUGCUCUUGAGCUUACCCUAGAUAAUAUGUUUUUGCUGUUAAUAAACAUGGUACAUGCCUGAAGCAAAGUUGAUCUUGUUUUUAACUAUUGUAUCACAGCAGAGAAGCAGCAGGAAAAUAAAAAAAUAAAAAAAUUGACAACCACAA